GAUCAUGGCUCAGGAUGAACGCUAGCUACAGGCUUAACACAUGCAAGUCGAGGGGCAGCAUGGUCUUAGCUUGCUAAGGCCGAUGGCGACCGGCGCACGGGUGAGUAACGCGUAUCCAACCUGCCUUACACUCUUGGACAGCCUUCUGAAAGGGAGAUUAAUACAAGAUGUUAUCAUGAGUAAGCAUUUUCGCAUGAUUAAAGGUUUACCGGUGUAAGAUGGGAUGCG
rnacentral:rRNA from 1 species